rnacentral:rRNA from 1 species
UGGGGGAUAUUGCACAAUGGGCGAAAGCCUGAUGCAGCGACGCCGCGUGGGGGAUGAAGGCCUUCGGGUUGUAAACUUCUUUUGCUCUGAACAAGGCGCACCAUGGGGUGUGUUGAGUGUAGGGGUUGAUUAGCGCCGGCUAACUACGUGCCAGCAGCCGCGGUAAUACGUAGGGCGCGAGCGUUGUCCGGAAUUAUUGGGCGUAAAGGGCUUGUAGGUGGCUGGUUGCGUCUGUCGUGAAAGCUCAUGGCUCAACUGUGGGUUUGCGGUGGGUACGGGCUGGCUUGAGUGCAGUAGGAGAGGCUGGAAUUCCUGGUGUAGCGGUGGAAUGCGCAGAUAUCAGGAGGAAUACCGGUGGCGAAGGCGGGUCUCUGGGCUGUUACUGACACUGAGGAGCGAAAGCAUGGGGAGCGAACAGG